AGGGUAAUAGUUAAAUAUAACAUUUAAUUUGCAUUUAAAAAGUAUUGAUUUUAUAUAUCAAUUUACCUUA
rnacentral:tRNA from 1 species